rnacentral:rRNA from 1 species
GAGUUUGAUCCUGGCUCAGGAUCAACGCUGGCGGCGUGCCUAAUGCAUGCAAGUCGAACGGGGCGUCCUUCGGGGCGUUUACGUGGCGGACGGGUGAGGAACACGUGGGAAAUCUGCCGCCCGCAGGGGGGUAGCCGUCGGAAACGGCGGGUAAUUCCGCAUGCGGUCACGACCCGAGUGGGGGUAGUGACGAAAGGGGAUCUUCGGAUUCCCGGCGGGCGAGGAUCCUGCGUCCGAUUAGCUUGUUGGUGGGGUAACGGCCUACCAAGGCGAUGAUCGGUAGCUGGUCUGAGAGGAUGAUCAGCCACACGGGGACUGAGACACGGCCCCGACUCCUACGGGAGGCAGCAGCAAGGAAUUUUCCGCAAUGGGCGAAAGCCUGACGGAGCAACGCCGCGUGCGGGAUGACGCCUUUCGGGGUGUAAACCGCUGUUCGUGGGGACGAAGCACUGACGGUACCCACGGAGGAAGGCCCGGCUAACUACGUGCCAGCAGCCGCGGUAAUACGUAGGGGCCGAGCGUUGUCCGGAGUUACUGGGCGUAAAGCGUGCGCAGGCGGUCUGUCGCGCCCGGCGUGAAAGCCCCCGGCUCAACCGGGGAGGGUCGUCGGGGACGGGCAGACUUGAGGGUGUCAGGGGCUGGUGGAAUUCCCGGUGUAGUGGUGAAAUGCGUAGAGAUCGGGAGGAACACCCGUGGCGAAGGCGGCCAGCUGGGACACACCUGACGCUGAGGCACGAAGGCGUGGGGAGCGAACGGGAUUAGAUACCCCGGUAGCCCACGCAGUAAACGAUGCAGACUAGGCGUGGGGGGACUUGACCCCCUCCGUGCC